rnacentral:rRNA from 1 species
UACGUAGGGUGCGAGCGUUAAUCGGAAUUACUGGGCGUAAAGCGUGCGCAGGCGGUUCGUUGUGUCGGCGGUGAAAGCCCCGGGCUUAACCUGGGAACUGCAUUGGUGACUGGCAGGCUUUGAGUGUGGCAGAGGGAGGUAGAAUUCCACGUGUAGCAGUGAAAUGCGUAGAGAUGUGGAGGAAUACCGAUGGCGAAGGCAGCCUCCUGGGCCAACACUGACGCUCGAUGCACGAAAGCGUGGGGAGCAAACAG